UAGAGUUUGAUCCUGGCUCAGAUUGAACGCUAGCGGGAUGCCUUACACAUGCAAGUCGAACGGCAGCACGGACUUCGGUCUGGUGGCGAGUGGCGAACGGGUGAGUAAUGUAUCGGAACGUGCCCAGUAGCGGGGGAUAACUACGCGAAAGCGUAGCUAAUGCCGCAUACGCCCUACGGGGGAAAGCAGGGGGUCGCAAGACCUUGCACUAUUGGAGCGGCCGAUAUCGGAUUAGCUAGUUGGUGGGGUAACGGCUCACCAAGGCGACGAUCCGUAGCUGGUUUGAGAGGACGACCAGCCACACUGGGACUGAGACACGGCCCAGACUCCUACGGGAGGCAGCAGUGGGGAAUUUUGGACAAUGGGGGAAACCCUGAUCCAGCCAUCCCGCGUGUGCGAUGAAGGCCUUCGGGUUGUAAAGCACUUUUGGCAGGAAAGAAACGUCGUGGGUUAAUACCCCGCGAAACUGACGGUACCUGCAGAAUAAGCACCGGCUAACUACGUGCCAGCAGCCGCGGUAAUACGUAGGGUGCAAGCGUUAAUCGGAAUUACUGGGCGUAAAGCGUGCGCAGGCGGUUCGGAAAGAAAGAUGUGAAAUCCCAGAGCUUAACUUUGGAACUGCAUUUUUAACUACCGGGCUAGAGUGUGUC
rnacentral:rRNA from 1 species